rnacentral:rRNA from 1 species
AUUGAACGCUGGCGGCAUGCUUUACACAUGCAAGUCGAACGGCAGCGCGGGCUUCGGCCUGGCGGCGAGUGGCGAACGGGUGAGUAAUACAUCGGAACAUACCCAGUAUUGGGGAAUAGCUCGGCUUAAGCCGACUUAAUACCGCAUACGACCAUAUGUUGAAACCGGUGGAUCUUCGGGCCUAGCCCUUUUUGAUCGGCCGAUGGCAGAUUAGCUAGUUGGUUGGGUAAAGGCCUACCAAGGCGACGAUCUGUAGCUGGUCUGAGAGGACGACCAGCCACACUGGGACUGAGACACGGCCCAGACUCCUACGGGAGGCAGCAGUGGGGAAUUUUGGACAAUGGGCGAAAGCCUGAUCCAGCAAUGCCGCGUGUGUGAUGAAGGCCUUCGGGUUGUAAAGCACUUUUGGCGGGAAAGAAAAGGACUGUGAGAAUACCACGGUUCGAUGACGGUACCCGAAGAAUAAGCACCGGCUAACUACGUG